rnacentral:misc_RNA from 1 species
GGGAGUAAAAGUCGUAACAAGGUUUCCGUAGGUGAACCUGCGGAAGGAUCAUUAUUGUAUUACCGAGGUGCGAGGGCUGUCGCUGACCCGAAAGGUCGUGCACGCCCGAGUGCCCUCACACACAUCCAUCUCACCCCUAUGUGCACCACCGCGUGGGUCCCCCUUUGGCUUGUUCGGAGGGGGGCUUACGUUUUCACACAAACUUUGUAUGCAGUGUAGAAUGUAUUUUUUGUUUUUGCGAUCACGCAAUCAAUACAACUUUCAACAACGGAUCUCUUGGCUCUC